CCGCUGUCGUCCCAGUGACAUCUGUUGCCUCCGUGCCUGAGCCCAGACCCAGGAAAAUAGUCGACACCAGGGUUAAGACAGCCGUUGAUGUCGCUGUUAAUCAGCCGGGGGUACCGAAGGUGAAGGAGGCCGCCCCAGAGCCUGCGAAGGAUGACCCCCCUCCGGUUUCUGUUGUAGUAAAAGACCCAUUUGAAGGCAUGAAGCCAGGAUGCACCAAGGUGGCCACUCCUCUCCCUGUACUCCUCCCCGAGUUAGUUCAGACAGUCAGUGCAGAGCCAGAACUUGAGGAUUCAAACGUUUCUGGCCAAGUUUACACCCCUUUGAUUAAAUUCACCCCGGCGUCACCAACCCCAUUGUCACCUACCCCUGUGUCACCUGUCCCACUGUCUCCUGCCCCUGAGUCUUCGGCAAUAGUCACAGUGACGAUUGAACCUAUACCUGAACCAGAAACAGCACCAGCUCCAAAGCCACGCUCCAGUGUUGACACGCUCACCGCCUUGUCCGGCACUCUCAUUUCUUUCGACACAAGUUCAACCAGGUAAUGGAUAAAAGGAAAAGAUGAAAGCAGCAGAAACCAAUAUGAAGGAAAAAAUAAUAUCAUGUUAGUGCCUGCAGCCUCAACAACCAUCUGAUAAUAAGAGUUUGUUUUCUCUCCAGCUUUGUGGAUGAUGAGCCAGUGCUGGCAGAGGAAGAAGGAGGCUCAGUGGACAGACGAACCUCAGAGGACAGGUAAAAAAAAAAACAACCAACUUCCUCAUUUAUGUCAGAGCAGGGUUGGCAAAAAAAAAAGAGAUAAUGGCUAACUGC
rnacentral:lncRNA from 1 species